GAUGAACGCUAGCGGCAGGCUUAAUACAUGCAAGUCGAACGGUAAGGUUUCUUCGGAGACACACGAGUGGCGCACGGGUGCGUAACGCGUAUGCAACCUACCUAUAACUGGGGAAUAGCCCCGAGAAAUCGGGAUUAAUACUCCAUAACAUCCCCUGGAUGCAUAUCCGGGGGAUAAAAGCUCAGGCGGUUAUAGAUGGGCAUGCGUGGCAUUAGCUAGUUGGUGAGGUAACGGCUCACCAAGGCAACGAUGCCUAGGGGUCCUGAGAGGGUUAACCCCCACACUGGUACUGAGACACGGACCAGACUCCUACGGGUGGCAG
rnacentral:rRNA from 1 species